UACGUAGGGUGCGAGCGUUAAUCGGAAUUACUGGGCGUAAAGCGUGCGCAGGCGGUUCGUUGUGUCGGCGGUGAAAGCCCCGGGCUUAACCUGGGAAUGGCCGUUGAAACUGGCGAACUGGAGUGUGGCAGAGGGGGUGGAAUUCCGCGUGUAGCAGUGAAUGCGUAGAGAUGCGGAGGAACACCGAUGGCGAAGGCAGCCCCCUGGCUAACACUGACGCUCAGCACGAAGCGUGGGAGCAACAGG
rnacentral:rRNA from 1 species